GGAGAGUCUGUAGCUCAGUGGUAGAUCAUGUGCUUGGCAUGCAUAAGGUCCCAGGUUCAAUCCCUGGCAUCUCCA